UACGUAGGUGGCAAGCGUUGUCCGGAAUUAUUGGGCGUAAAGCGCGCGCAGGCGGUCCUUUAAGUCUGAUGUGAAAGCCCACGGCUCGAACCGUGGAGGGUCAUUGGAAACUGGGGGACUUGAGUGCAGGAGAGAAGAGUGGAAUUCCACGUGUAGCGGUGAAAUGCGCAGAUAUCGGGAGGAACACCGGUGGCGAAGGCGGGUCUC
rnacentral:rRNA from 1 species